GAUGAACGCUAGCGGCAGGCUUAACACAUGCAAGUCGAGGGGUAGAGGAAGCUUGCUUCCUUGAGACCGGCGCACGGGUGCGUAACGCGUAUACAAUCUACCUUUUACAGAGGGAUAGCCCCAGAGAAAUUUGGAUUAAUACCUCAUAGUAUUUUUCGGAUCGCAUGAUUUGAUUAUUAAAGUUCCAACGGUAAAGAUGAGUAUGCGUCCCAUUAGCUAGAUGGUAAGGUAACGGCUUACCAUGGCUACGAUGGUAGGGUCCUGAGAGGAGAUCCCCCACACUGGUACUGAGACACGGACCAGACUCCUACGGAGGCAGCAGUGAGGAAUAUUGGAC
rnacentral:rRNA from 1 species